GAUGAAGAACGCAGCGAAAUGCGAUACGUAGUGUGAAUUGCAGAAUUCAGUGAAUCAUCGAAUCUUUGAACGCACAUUGCACCUCUCGGUAUUCCGGGAGGUAUGCCUGUUCGAGCGUCAUUUGUACCCUCAAGCUCUGCUUGGUGUUGGGUGUUUGUUCCGCCUCUGUGUGUGAACUCGCCUCAAAACAAUUGGCAGCCGGCGUACUUGUUUCGGAGCGCAGCACAUUUUGCGAUCCAGAUCAACGUACAGCGGCAUCCAAGAAGCCUUAUUUAACGCUCUUGACCUCGGAUCAGGUAGGGAUACCCGCUGAACUUAAGCAUAUCAAUAAGCGGAUGA
rnacentral:misc_RNA from 1 species